rnacentral:lncRNA from 1 species
GGAGUGGACACAAGAGAAAUACCAGGAACAUUAGAGGAGUAAACAAAAAGGGGACUGGUAGGGUCAACAGGAGUUAUAUUAGCACUCAUGUUAGCAGCCAUGAACAACAAUUAGUUUAAAAUCAAAAGAUAGUCUCUGUAAUUAGUUUGAAAAACUAAAGUUGUAUCAAAAAUCUCAUGCAAAUCAUAUAGCACCUAAAACAGGAACAGAUUUGCCCUUCUUCUUCGCGACCGGAGAAGAACGGCCUUCGAUUAACAGAAAAAUACCAGUUUCGAGCAGCAGAAACCCUAAAAUCUGAAGUCUCGCCGAAAUCGAGUCGAGGACGUCGGAAAACCAACUCAAAACAUCCAAGCAGUGAAGAUGCGACCAGUUAAUGGUGAUAGAGGUCUCAGAUUAACACUCCAUCUUUAUCGAAAUCAUCACUGACCAAAUAUCUCACACAUACCCGAAAACUAUCCAACGCGAUUUCAACUGGGAUAACAAGAUAUAGCAGAGAAUCGUCGGAUCAUCGUCCCGCUCUGAUACCAUAAAAACAUAGAAGAAUCAAGAUGAAGAUUGAAGAAGAUGAGUCGGUUGAGAGAAGCUUCCAGAGAUCUUCAGAAAAGAAAAGCUUUCAAUAUCAAAAUAUCCGACUGACCCUAUACAGAAGGGUAAGGUGUGUAUAAAACCAAAGUGGGCCAACUCGGGCCAAAGGUAAAACAAAAGAAAAAUGGUCUGACUCUAUGCAGAAGGGUCAGGUGUGUAUAUAACAAAACCGGGCCAACUCGGGCCAAAUGUAAAACAAAAGAAAAAUGGGCUCAGAUGUGUUCUGGCCCAACAUACAUGAUAUACACGAUAUACAAACAGUAUCCAAUAAAUAUACACUACAAAAUCAAUGUAUGUGUCUAGGUUUUGAAGCUAGAUAAUCUUGUAGCUCAACAUGAUAUUAUAUGAUAUACACGAUAUAUAAAUAGUAUACAAUAAAUAUACACUACAAAAUUAAUGUAUGUGUCUAGGUUUUGAAGCUAGAUAAUCUUGUAUCUCAGCAGUAGUUGGGAAAGGAGGGUUUAUGGAGAUUUUGUGGAAGCAAUUGGGUCCAUAUGACUUAUACAAGACGAAUAGUGUUGAAGAAAUUUUUGAUGGUGGAAACCAAAUUUGAGAAAAUUUAAGAUCAGAAAUCCUAGUAUUAAAGUUCUUGUUUAGAAUCUUACAUUGAACUGCAAGCUUCAAAGGCAAAUAGGAGAUGAUUUCCACAACUAAGUCAUCAUUCAGUUCCAUAGUCGCAACAUUUAUUCUUUGCUCUGUUGGGAAUAGCGGUUUGUCUUGCACUUGUUUUCUUCUUUUC